rnacentral:rRNA from 1 species
CCCAGACUCCUACGGGAGGCAGCAGUGGGGGAUAUUGCACAAUGGGGGAAACCCUGAUGCAGCGACGCCGCGUGGGUGAAGAAGUAUUUCGGUAUGUAAAGCCCUAUCAGCAGGGAAGAACGAAGACGGUACCUGACUAAGAAGCCCCGGCUAACUACGUGCCAGCAGCCGCGGUAAUACGUAGGGGGCGAGCGUUAUCCGGAUUCACUGGGUGUAAAGGGAGCGUAGACGGCCGUGCAAGCCAGGAGUGAAAGCCCGGGGCCCAACCCCGGGACUGCUCUUGGAACUGUGCGGCUGGAGUGCGGGAGGGGCAGGCGGAAUUCCUGGUGUAGCGGUGAAAUGCGUAGAUAUCAGGAGGAACACCGGCGGCGAAGGCGGCCUGCUGGACCGCGACUGACGUUGAGGCUCGAAAGCGUGGGGAGCGAACAGGAUUAGAUACCCCAGUAC